GCCCGAAUAGUUUAAACAAAACAUCGGUCUUGUAAGCCGAAACUGAAGGCUAAUCCCUUUUUCGGGCC
rnacentral:tRNA from 1 species